CGGAAGAAUAAGCACCGGCUAACUACGUGCCAGCCAGCCCGCGGUAAUACGUAGGGGUGCGAGCGUUAAUCGGAAAUUACUGGGCGUAAAGCGUGCGCAGGCGGUUUGCUAAGACCGAUGUGAAAUCCCCGGGCUCAAACCUGGGAACUGCAUUGGUGACUGGCAGGCUAGAGUAUGGCAGAGGGGGGGUAGAAUUCCACGUGUAGCAGUGAAAUGCGUAGAGAUGUGGAGGAAUACCGAUGGCGAAGGCAGCCCCCCUGGGCCAAUACUGACGCUCAUGCACGAAAGCGUGGGGAGCAAACAGGAUUAGAUACCCUGGUAGUCCACGCCCUAAACGAUGUCAACUAGUUGUUGGGGAUUCAUUUCCUUAGUAACGUAGCUAACGCGUGAAGUUGACCGCCUGGGGAGUACGGGUCGCAAGAUUAAAACUUCAAAGGGAAUUUGACGGGGACCCGCACAAGCGGUGGAUGGAUGUGGAAUUAAUUUCGAUGCAACGCGAAAACCCUUACCUACCCUUUGACAAUGGUCGGAAUCCCGCUGAGAGGUGGGGAGUGCUUCGAAAGAGAACCGGCGCACAGGUGCUUGCAUGGCUGUUCGUCAGCUCGGUKUCGKAAAAUGUUGGGCUUAAGUCUCGCAACGAGCGCAACCCUUGUCCUUAGUUGCUACGCAAGAGCACUCUAAGGAGACUGCCGGUGACAAACCGGAGGAAGGUGGGGAUGACGUCAAGUCCUCAUGGCCCUUAUGGG
rnacentral:rRNA from 1 species